CAAGUCGAACGGCUCUUCGGAGCAGUGGCGCACGGGUGAGUAACGCGUGGGAAUCUACCCUGAGGUUCGGAAUAACGGUUGGAAACGACCGCUAAUACCGGAUGUGCCCUAUGGGGCAAAGGCUUGCCGCCUUGGGAGGAGCCCGCGUCCGAUUAGCUUGUUGGUGGGGUAAUGGCCUACCAAGUCUACGAUCAGUAGCUGGUUUGAGAGGAUGAUCAGCAACACUGGGACUGAGACACGGCCCAGACUCC
rnacentral:rRNA from 1 species